rnacentral:rRNA from 1 species
GGGUUGUGAGGUUAAGCGACUAAGCGUACACGGUGGAUGCCCUGGCAGUCAGAGGCGAUGAAGGACGUGCUAAUCUGCGAUAAGCGUCGGUAAGGUGAUAUGAACCGUUAUAACCGGCGAUUUCCGAAUGGGGAAACCCAGUGUGAUUCGUCACACUAUCAUUAACUGAAUCCAUAGGUUAAUGAGGCGAACCGGGGGAACUGAAACAUCUAAGUACCCCGAGGAAAAGAAAUCAACCGAGAUUCCCCCAGUAGCGGCGAGCGAACGGGGAGCAGCCCAGAGCCUGAAUCAGUGUGUGUGUUAGUGGAAGCGUCUGGAAAGGCGCGCGAUACAGGGUGACAGCCCCGUACACAAAAAUGCACAUACUGUGAGCUCGAUGAGUAGGGCGGGACACGUGGUAUCCUGUCUGAAUAUGGGGGGACCAUCCUCCAAGGCUAAAUACUCCUGACUGACCGAUAGUGAACCAGUACCGUGAGGGAAAGGCGAAAAGAACCCCGGCGAGGGGAGUGAAAAAGAACCUGAAACCGUGUACGUACAAGCAGUGGGAGCACGCUUAGGCGUGUGACUGCGUACCUUUUGUAUAAUGGGUCAGCGACUUAUAUUCUGUAGCAAGGUUAACCGAAUAGGGGAGCCGAAGGGAAACCGAGUCUUAACUGGGCGUUAAGUUGCAGGGUAUAGACCCGAAACCCGGUGAUCUAGCCAUGGGCAGGUUGAAGGUUGGGUAACACUAACUGGAGGACCGAACCGACUAAUGUUGAAAAAUUAGCGGAUGACUUGUGGCUGGGGGUGAAAGGCCAAUCAAACCGGGAGAUAGCUGGUUCUCCCCGAAAGCUAUUUAGGUAGCGCCUCGUGAAUUCAUCUCCGGGGGUAGAGCACUGUUUCGGCAAGGGGGUCAUCCCGACUUACCAACCCGAUGCAAACUGCGAAUACCGGAGAAUGUUAUCACGGGAGACACACGGCGGGUGCUAACGUCCGUCGUGAAGAGGGAAACAACCCAGACCGCCAGCUAAGGUCCCAAAGUCAUGGUUAAGUGGGAAACGAUGUGGGAAGGCCCAGACAGCCAGGAUGUUGGCUUAGAAGCAGCCAUCAUUUAAAGAAAGCGUAAUAGCUCACUGGUCGAGUCGGCCUGCGCGGAAGAUGUAACGGGGCUAAACCAUGCACCGAAGCUGCGGCAGCGACGCUUAUGCGUUGUUGGGUAGGGGAGCGUUCUGUAAGCCUGCGAAGGUGUGCUGUGAGGCAUGCUGGAGGUAUCAGAAGUGCGAAUGCUGACAUAAGUAACGAUAAAGCGGGUGAAAAGCCCGCUCGCCGGAAGACCAAGGGUUCCUGUCCAACGUUAAUCGGGGCAGGGUGAGUCGACCCCUAAGGCGAGGCCGAAAGGCGUAGUCGAUGGGAAACAGGUUAAUAUUCCUGUACUUGGUGUUACUGCGAAGGGGGGACGGAGAAGGCUAUGUUGGCCGGGCGACGGUUGUCCCGGUUUAAGCGUGUAGGCUGGUUUUCCAGGCAAAUCCGGAAAAUCAAGGCUGAGGCGUGAUGACGAGGCACUACGGUGCUGAAGCAACAAAUGCCCUGCUUCCAGGAAAAGCCUCUAAGCAUCAGGUAACAUCAAAUCGUACCCCAAACCGACACAGGUGGUCAGGUAGAGAAUACCAAGGCGCUUGAGAGAACUCGGGUGAAGGAACUAGGCAAAAUGGUGCCGUAACUUCGGGAGAAGGCACGCUGAUAUGUAGGUGAAGUCCCUCGCGGAUGGAGCUGAAAUCAGUCGAAGAUACCAGCUGGCUGCAACUGUUUAUUAAAAACACAGCACUGUGCAAACACGAAAGUGGACGUAUACGGUGUGACGCCUGCCCGGUGCCGGAAGGUUAAUUGAUGGGGUCAGCGCAAGCGAAGCUCUUGAUCGAAGCCCCGGUAAACGGCGGCCGUAACUAUAACGGUCCUAAGGUAGCGAAAUUCCUUGUCGGGUAAGUUCCGACCUGCACGAAUGGCGUAAUGAUGGCCAGGCUGUCUCCACCCGAGACUCAGUGAAAUUGAACUCGCUGUGAAGAUGCAGUGUACCCGCGGCAAGACGGAAAGACCCCGUGAACCUUUACUAUAGCUUGACACUGAACAUUGAGCCUUGAUGUGUAGGAUAGGUGGGAGGCUUUGAAGUGUGGACGCCAGUCUGCAUGGAGCCGACCUUGAAAUACCACCCUUUAAUGUUUGAUGUUCUAACGUGGACCCGUGAUCCGGGUUGCGGACAGUGUCUGGUGGGUAGUUUGACUGGGGCGGUCUCCUCCUAAAGAGUAACGGAGGAGCACGAAGGUUGGCUAAUCCUGGUCGGACAUCAGGAGGUUAGUGCAAUGGCAUAAGCCAGCUUGACUGCGAGCGUGACGGCGCGAGCAGGUGCGAAAGCAGGUCAUAGUGAUCCGGUGGUUCUGAAUGGAAGGGCCAUCGCUCAACGGAUAAAAGGUACUCCGGGGAUAACAGGCUGAUACCGCCCAAGAGUUCAUAUCGACGGCGGUGUUUGGCACCUCGAUGUCGGCUCAUCACAUCCUGGGGCUGAAGUAGGUCCCAAGGGUAUGGCUGUUCGCCAUUUAAAGUGGUACGCGAGCUGGGUUUAGAACGUCGUGAGACAGUUCGGUCCCUAUCUGCCGUGGGCGCUGGAGAAUUGAGGGGGGCUGCUCCUAGUACGAGAGGACCGGAGUGGACGCAUCACUGGUGUUCGGGUUGUCAUGCCAAUGGCACUGCCCGGUAGCUAAAUGCGGAAGAGAUAAGUGCUGAAAGCAUCUAAGCACGAAACUUGCCCCGAGAUGAGUUCUCCCUGAC